CCCAGAGAUCUGUAACUCUCUAGCCGCUGUGACCAAACCAGAGCCCCGCAGAACCCCCACAUACAGCACCGGAAUGUCUUUCCUGUUAAUGUGAAUGAUGAACAGAGACAGCAUGAAUCUGGGAGGCCAAUGUGUGACUAAUGUCUCAGCAAAAUGGGUGGAGUGCUCCGAGUGAAGGUGAAGUUCAUUGUUCCUCCAGGUCUGCGAAUUCCUGAAUUAAGCAGGUGACCCACCCAGUUGCCUGAGCAGUGGAGCCAAGGACCACCAGAUGAAUUCCCUGGAACUCAACCUGGAGUCUGGGGGGAGGGGCUUGCCCAAACUGUUAAAUGUUCUGACUGCCAUUAAA